AAGCAAGACAGUGAUGUGGAGCAAAUCCCUAAAAACGGUCUCAGUUCGGAUUGUAGGCUGCAACUCGCCUACAUGAAGUCGGAAUUGCUAGUAAUCGCGGAUCAGCAUGCCGCGGUGAAUACGUUCCCGGGCCUUGUACACACCGCCCGUCACACCAUGGAAGUUGGUAACACCCGAAGCCUGUAGCCUAACCGCAAGGAGGGCGCAGUCGAAGGUGGGAUUGAUGACUGGGGUGAAGUCGUAACAAGGUACC
rnacentral:rRNA from 1 species